CAGAACAUAGUUUAAAGAGAAUCUUGGCUUUGGGAGUCGCCGGCGAAGGUUAAAGUCCUUCUGUUCUGA
rnacentral:tRNA from 1 species